rnacentral:rRNA from 1 species
CCUAGGGCGGCAGCAGUGGGGGAUACUGCACAAUGGGGGAAACCCUGAUGCAGCGACGCCGCGUGGGCGAAGAAGUAUUUCGGUAUGUAAAGCCCUAUCAGCAGGGAAGAAGAAAUGACGGUACCUGAGUAAGAAGCACCGGCUAAAUACGUGCCAGCAGCCGGGGUAAUACGGAUGGUGCAAGCGUUAACCGGAUUUACUGGGUGUAAAGGGAGCGCAGGGGGCACGUCAAGCCUGAUGUGAAAGCCUGCGGCACAACCGCGGGACUGCAUUGGGAACUACCGGGCUGGAGUGCCGGAGAGGUAGGCGGAAUUCCUAGUGUAGCGGUGAAAUGCGUAGAUAUUAGGAGGAACACCAGUGGCGAAGGCGGCCUACUGGACGGUGACUGACGCUGAGGCUCGAAAGCGUGGGGAGCAAACAGGAUUAGAUACCCGGGUAGUC